CCUACGGGUGGCAGCAGUGGGGAAUAUUGGACAAUGGGCGAAAGCCUGAUCCAGCCAUGCCGCGUGUGUGAAGAAGGCCUUCGGGUUGUAAAGCACUUUCAGUGGGGAAGAAAGCCUUGGGGCUAAUACCCUCGAGGUAGGACAUCACCCACAGAAGAAGCACCGGCUAACUCCGUGCCAGCAGCCGCGGUAAUACGGAGGGUGCGAGCGUUAAUCGGAAUUACUGGGCGUAAAGCGCGCGUAGGCGGUCUGAUAAGCCGGUUGUGAAAGCCCCGGGCUCAACCUGGGAACGGCAUCCGGAACUGUCAGGCUAGAGUGCAGGAGAGGAAGGUAGAAUUCCCGGUGUAGCGGUGAAAUGCGUAGAGAUCGGGAGGAAUACCAGUGGCGAAGGCGGCCUUCUGGACUGACACUGACGCUGAGGUGCGAAAGCGUGGGUAGCAAACAGGAUUAGAUACCCGUGAGUC
rnacentral:rRNA from 1 species